rnacentral:misc_RNA from 1 species
UUUCCGUAGGUGAACCUGCGGAAGGAUCAUUAUUGAAUGAACUUGGUGUGGUUGUUGCUGGCCCUCUCGGGGGCAUGUGCACACCCACCAUCCUCAUCUCUCCACCUGUGCACCUCUUGUAGACCUGGAUAGACUUUCCGAGGCAACUCGGUCGGGAAGAUUGCUGCGCUCUGUGAGCCAGCUUUCUUUGCAUGUCCAGGCCUAUGUUUUUCAUAUACCCCUAUAGAAUGUAACAGAAUGUAUCAUUGGGCCUUGUGCCUAUAAACCUUAUACAACUUUCAGCAACGGAUCUCUUGGCUCUC